CACACCGUAAACGUUGGGCACUAGGUGUGGGGAGGAUCAACCCUUUCCGUGCCGUAGCUAACGCAUUAAGUGCCCCGCCUGGGGAGUACGGCCGCAAGGCUAAAACUCAAAGGAAUUGAC
rnacentral:rRNA from 1 species